rnacentral:rRNA from 1 species
GAUGAACGCUAGCGACAGGCUUAACACAUGCAAGUCGAGGGGCAGCGGGGUGUGGCAACACACUGCCGGCGACCGGCGCACGGGUGAGUAACGCGUAUGCAACUUGCCUAUCAGAGGGGGAUAACCCGGCGAAAGUCGGACUAAUACCGCAUAAAACAGGGGUUCCGCAUGGGGAUAUUUGUUUAAGAUUCAUCGCUGAUAGAUAGGCAUGCGUUCCAUUAGGCAGUUGGCGGGGUAACGGCCCACCAAACCGACGAUGGAUAGGGGUUCUGAGAGGAAGGUCCCCCACAUUGGUACUGAGACACGGACCAAACUCCUACGGGAGGCAGCAGUGAGGAAUAUUGGUCAAUGGCCGGGAGGCUGAACCAGCCAAGUCGCGUGAAGGAUGAAGGUUCUAUGGAUUGUAAACUUCUUUUGUGCGGGAAUAAAGUCGGGGAUGCGUCCCCGUUUGCAUGUACCGUACGAAUAAGCAUCGGCUAACUCCGUGCCAGCGCCGCUGUAA